GGGAUCGAGAUCGGGAUCGUUAUGAUUCAGAUCGAUACCGUGAUGGCCCCCGAAGAGAUAUGGACCGUUUUGGGGGUCGGGAUCGCUAUGAUGACCGUAGAGAUUAUGACAGAGGAGGCUUCGAUUCAAGGUCAGGCAGUGGCAGGAGGGCUUUUGGUAGUGGAUACCGCCGGGACGAUGAUUACAGGGGUGGUGGUGAUCGCUAUGAGGAUCGUUAUGAGAGGCGGGAUGACCGGAUGGAUCGGUGGAGCAGCUCACGGGAUGAC